rnacentral:rRNA from 1 species
GAUGAACGCUGGCGGCGUGCCUAAUACAUGCAAGUCGAGCGAACAGACGAGGAGCUUGCUCCUCUGACGUUAGCGGCGGACGGGCGAGUAACACGUGGAUAACCUACCUAUAAUACUGGGAUAACUUCGUGAAACCGGUGCUAAUAACAGCGAAUAUAUUGUACCGCAUGGUUCAAUAGUUAAACACGGUUUUGCUGUUACUUAUAGAUGGAUCCGCGCCGCAUUAGCUAGUUGGUAAGGUAACGGCUUACCAAGGCAACGAUGCGUAGCUGACCUGAGAGGGUGAUCGGCCACACUGGAACUGAGACACGGUCCAGACUCCUACGGGAGGCAGCAGUGGGGAAUCUUGCGCAAUGGGCGAAAGCCUGAUGGAGCAACGCCGCGUGAGUGAUGAAGGUCUUCGGAUCGUAAAACUCUGUUGUUGGGGAAGAACAAAUGUGGAAGUAACCAUGCACGUCUUGACGGUACCUAAACAGAAAGCCACGGCUAACUACGUG